rnacentral:lncRNA from 13 species
GGCAUUCCUUCAUCCAGUGGUUAUAGCCACGCUAUUCUGAAAUAUUUUCCCCCUUCCCUUCUCCAGGAACUUGGAACUGUUAAAUAAUAUUAGCUGGAAGCCAUUGGUUUGGACUGAACUCCUGCACUAGGCCUGAGAGACCAAACCAAGAUGGAAUGACUCAUGCUGAAGUUUCAUGCCACCGAGCCAAAGCUACAUUGACUAUUUGACCUUCCCAAGAAUCAGGAGAGAGAGAGAUAACAGCAAAUUCUCAAACAGGCCGGUUUUAGCUGGCACGGAAAUGGAAUUCCCCAGGGAAAACGCAGAACAAGACUACAACUCCCAGAGCCCCUUGCACUCCCUGUAGCCAUGUGACUAAGUUCUGGCCAAUGGGAAGUAAGUGGCAGGGGUGUGGGCAGUGCAGCAGCUCUAGAGGGCGUGAACUGCAGCAUCUGCAGUGGGGUGGAUGUGCCCUUCCUCCCUGCCUUCCUCCUUCCUGGUGGUGAUGUGGAAAGUGGGCCUGAUGGCUGAAAUGUGGACACCAACGUGAACCCAGAAGUGGAAACCGUGUGUUGAAGUUGGUGAAGCAACGAGACCAAAGGAACUUGGGUCCCUGAGCAAUGAACCAGAAGGAGGCCACGGGGCCAUCUGCUUUGGAAGAUUUGGUGGAUUCAUAGAAUUUCUACCACCUUCCUUCACAGAAGAAACAGCACUCUUCAAAACUGCAACAACCCCACUGAAAAGAGAAGAGGCUUCUGGUUACAAUCAAAUCCGCCAAUCGUUAAGGGGACUUGGGGGCGCUGCCCCCAGCGCAGCUUCUAGACCUACUCUGCCCAUCCCUGCCCCAUGGGGCGCCCUGAGCUUUGAGAGACACAGCCCCCCUGCCACCUCUCACAUCUUCUGGCCAUUCUUUCUGCAGUGAGCCCCCUCCAGAGAACUCCAGCCUGUCUCCCUUCCUGCUGCAAUGUUUACCCAGUUCCUCAAGUGCCAAUUUUCAUUCUGGUGCCAUCAAACUUCUCUCAGCACACUGUAUCUUCAGUGAAAAUGGAAAUUCCAGACCCAAAUCGAUAUUGAACCUCCCCAAAGAUGCUGGACCUGGGCUCUCCUUCUCCCUUCUUGGAUCCUAAGGAACCGAAGCUGUCCUAGGAGCUCAGGUGUGCGUCUUACCUUCCUGCACUUGCUUCCACUGGCCCUUGAUGGUAUCCUGGGAACAGCUGGUCAGGUACUGUUAGCACCAUUCUACCUAUGGAGAAACUGAGGCUCAGAGCAGCUGGGUGGGAUGUGCCUUCCAAGGUCACACGGUCCGUGAGCACAGAACUUGCUUCUAGGCCACCUCUCCAUAUCCCAUGCUUUUCCAAAAGCCCCCUUUUAAUGCCUCCCACCCCUUUCUGCUGUGCAGGGUAGAAUGCUAGAAUCGCAGGAAAGUGGUGACUCACAACCAACUUUGGACUUACUUUACCACACACACAAAACAAGGCUCUCUACCAAUGCUCUUGAACUCCACGUGUAACUGCCAGACAGCACAUCCUGGACGGCUUGAUACAUGUUAUUGUCUGAAUGGAAAAACAAGACCUGCGUCCAACUCCCCAAAAGUAAGCAGUUCCAUGAAACUAACAUCACAAAAAGGAACUAAGGAAGAAUGUGUCUGCUGUUCUAAUACGAUCAGCUGAUCACCUGGAACACAGGCAAAACGCGCAUCUGGGGUGUCACCGGUGGUGUCGUCUGCCGUUGUUUAAAACUGCCACACAUAAUAGAAAGCAGAC